GAUGUUUUGGGGCAACUGUUGUUAAUAAAAAUUCCAGAUAUAUUAACAUUAGCAAAACUGCAUGAUGAUAAAUCUAGUGUCAAUGAGAUGGAAGUUUUGUUGUUAUUAAUACUCGGAUGUGCUGUCCAGUGU